AGUGCAAAAGUAAGUUUAGUAAUCCAAAAAUUCACCUCAAACGUUACAACAGUUCUCUAUUUUCAUUUACACUUUAAAAAAAAAAAAGAAAAAAAAGCAACAAGCAUUUUUCAGAGUAUUCAUGCCCCUUAUGGUUAUGUGUGUGUUUUUUUUAAAAGAUGUAUUCUUGGGCCAUGUUUGCCUUUAUUGAGAGAUAGGAAUUGUUGAAAGGAGAUAGUGGGGUAUGGCAUUCAGCAAAGGGCCAAUGCAUAACCGCUAAUACAUAAUGUUGCAUUUUUAAGAAUUGAAUUCUUCCUGUUGACAACAAUUGACUUCAAGUCACCAAAAGGUAUUAUUAUUAUCUCUCCUGCAGUAUUUGAAUGCACAAGCUUUGAUUAUUGCUCUACUUCCGGAAAAAGCAACAUGUAUGCAUCUCUAAAGAUAUUGUAAUUUCUAAUAUAACAGAAUAAUCUUAUUAAUUUAAUUUAAUUAUAAUGUAAAUAAUUUGUAUACUUUAUUAAUCCUGCGAGGGGAAAUUCAGUUUUCCACUCUGUUUAAUGUACAUGAACACACACACAGGCUGAAAUACACACAUGCACAAACAGGAUCCUAUGGACAUGCACUAAUGGAGAUGUCAGAGUGAGGGGGCUGCCCACAGCGAGCGCUCCAGAGCAGUUUUGGGGUUCGGGUGCCUUGCUCAAGGGCACCUCGACAGUGCUCAGGAAGUGGGCUGGCUCCUUUCCAGCUACCAGACCAAUUUCCGGACUUGAUCCGUGCCGGGACUUGAAACGGCGACCCUCCUGUUCCCAGCCCAAGUCCCUACAGACUGAGCUUCUGCCGCCCCAAACAUAAAACGUAAACAUUUGAACAUGUCAAGGUUAAAGUCUGUCUGUGAGACUUUCAUAAAAUGAAUAACUGUCAAUAAACGUUGGUGGCAUUUAUUGUCGUCCAAACUAUGUUAUUUUUAAACCAGCAAAAAUAAAGCUCUAUUGUAUACGUAUGUAUGUAUCAGAAAUAAACCAAAUGUAUUUUCAGUAACCUCUUAGUAUUGACGUUUGUUUGAACUGAAUGCACAUUAAAUGCCAACAGUUAUGUAACCCAUAACACUAUAUUUACAAACACCUUCUAAAAGUUUAUUGCUGACAUCUGUGCUGCAUCUCCACAGGCCAAACAUUUAGAGAAGAAAGCUACUGAAUACUAAGCAAUUGUUUUUUUUUAACCACUAAAAUAUUGCAUGUAUGUUCUUAGAGGUGCAGUAGUUCAUAUAACAAUCACAACUCUUAACACAGCUUGUAACUUUAAAAUAUCUUUUUGCCGAGGAUGUAAAUCCAGAACAGAAUUUGUUUUUGUUCAGUUUUAUUUAAAACAUGUAUACACAAGUGUACAUAUAUAUAUAUAUGUAGAGAGAGAGAGAGAGCGAGAGAGAAAGAGGGAUUUUUAUACUUUGUAUUUCUACUGGUGAUGGAUAUUUAAAGAUCAAAAUGCUGCUGCAGCACUGAAUCAUAGACCAAAUUUAAAACAGCUCUGAUCAGACAAAUAUUACAGAUAUGUAGACUCGAGCUCAUCAUUUCUAAAUGACAAAUGAUUGUGUUCUUAUAUCAUUGUACUUAUUUCCUGUUGUAUCUUGUGUCUUACAUUUUGUAACUUUUUGCCUUGGACAAUAACUUCACACAGAUUUAAAAUGUUCAUUGUAUCAAAGUAAAUAAUUGUAAAAUAAUUUAAACAGUUUUGUCCUCUGUCUUUUAUAUCACACGUGUAUGAUUGUAUUUUAACAUUAAUUUACUACACAUAUCAUAUUGCUACCAUAAACUCUCUUUUUCACAAAUAGCUACAUUCACAUUCACACACCUGAUGCCCAGAGGAAGGCAAAAUGUUUAUGGCAUUUUCGGAUGCCUUGCACUUGGUGAGUCAAUCCUAAUAAAGCCUAUCUAAACCAAACUAUGCUAAGACAACAUUAAUAA